GGAUGAGAGAGAAAGAAAAUCUGUGAAAGAUGUUAAAACUUCUCAAUUGCCUGUUUCUACUAAGGCCCUCAUUGGCUAUAGUGUAUGUACAGUGAAUGGAAGGUCCCAAUUGGUCAGAUGAGGCGUCAAUAGAAGGGUCAGAGUGGAUGACUCGGUACAUAGAAUACAGCUGAAAUUUGGGAACAGUGUCGGAAAUUUUAAAGAUAAUUGUUAAAUUCGGUGGCAGUAGCUCAGUCUGUAGGGACUUGGGUUGGGAACCAGAGGGUCACCGUAUUGAAGUUGGUCUGGUAGCUGGAGAGGUGCCAGAUCACCUUCUGAGCACUGCCGAGGUGCCCUUGAGCAAGGCACCAAACCCCCUCCCUCACCACCAGCUCAAUAGCGCCCACUGUGGGUGGCUCCGUCACUCUGACAUCUCUCCAUUAGUGCAUGUCCAUAGGAUCCUGUUUGUGUGCAUGUGUGUAUAUACUUCAGCCUACGUGUGUGUUGCAUGACUACAGAGUGUAAAAACAGAAAUUUC